CAAUAGCGUAUAUUUAAGUUGUUGCAGUUAAAAAGCUCGUAGUCGGAUUUUGGCUGAGAACGAUCGGUCCGCCGUUAGGUGUGCACUGAUUGGUCUCAGCUUCCUGGUGAGGAGGUGUGCUUCACGGCCACUUAGUCACCGUGGUUACUUUGAAAAAAUUAGAGUGUUCAAAGCGGGCUUACGCUUGAAUAUAUUAGCAUGGAAUAACACCAUAGGACUCCUGUCCUAUUUCGUUGGUCUCGGGACGGAAGUAAUGAUUAAGAGGAACAGUUGGGGGCAUUCGUAUUUCAUUGUCAGAGGUGAAAUUCUUGGAUUUAUGAAAGACGAACUUCUGCGAAAGCAUUUGCCAAGGAUGUUUUCAUUGA
rnacentral:rRNA from 1 species